rnacentral:rRNA from 1 species
AAUGAUGGUGACGUAAAACCUCACCAGAGUAACAAUUGGAGGGCAAGUCUGGUGCCAGCAGCCGCGGUAAUUCCAGCUCCAAUAGCGUAUAUUAAACUUGUUGCAGUUAAAAAGCUCGUAGUUGAAUUUCUGCGUUGCCCGACUGGGCUCCUUGCCCGGUCUGGCUUCGCUUUUGGGGUUUCCCCUUUUUACUUUGAGAAAAUUAGAGUGUUUCAAGCAGACUUGUGUCUUGAAUACUUCAGCAUGGAAUAAUAAAGUAGGACUUUGGUUCUAUUUUGUUGGUUUGUGAACCUUAGUAAUGGUUAAUAGGAACGU